rnacentral:misc_RNA from 1 species
ACUGGUACGGACAAGGGGAAUCC